rnacentral:lncRNA from 1 species
AUGACGUGGCCCAUUCUGUUGGCAGGGCUUUUCUGCAGAGAUGUAACACAACCUAAUUUUGAGCAUAAUUUAAUAGUGUAUAUUGAGGGAAUGUAUGUAUUGCAGAUGUCUUUUGGACUGUCUGAUUAUUUGUGUGAUGGUUCUAUUUCAGUUGUGAGGUAUCCUACAGAUCUUGGCACCGGAGGUGGUGGUAAAGCACCCAAACCAGGUUAUGGAUCUUUGGGCACAGGAUAUCAACCAGGUGGUUUUGUACCAGGAGGUUAUGGAGGGCUCCCACAGGCGUAUCCAGGAGGCUAUGGAGCAGGGUUGACGCCACAGCAAGCUAAAGCAGCCAAAUAUGGAGCACUGGGGGGAUUCCUGGGCGGAGGCUACAGAGGUGGUGCAGGGUGCCAGGGCAAAUACUGCGGCAGGAGGAGAAAAUGAGCGAUCUCUUGAGAUGUGAAGUGACCUCAAGAAACAAUGGUGCUACUGCAUGAUCUAGAAUGUACAUUUGAUAUACAAAGAACAACCCAUCAUGUACAAAUGUGUUUUAUAUAUCUACAGAAAAAAAUAUUUUUAUUAACAAAUUGGAAAGGAAAGCCCAGUGAGAGAGAAAGAAAGGCAAGUGCCGUGUUACGUAGAUCAGAAAUGCAGUCGUUCAUGUGACACAUGCCAACAUGUUGCUGUUUGUUUUUUGUUAGUUUUUUUUAUUGUUGGUUUUUUUUUGUAGAUUUGGUCACCAAAUGGGCAAACUGGCAACUAGGAAGGUUCAUUAGCUUUAUAGUUUAUUGUACAAUUGUGAAAUGUAGGGCACCUAUUUUUAAUUUCCUCAAGAUUUUGAUCCAAAGGUCUAAAGCCGCGCAGCUUUAGGUGGUGAUAGUCAGCAGACCAAAGUGUAUCAUAGAUGUGGUUUGCUAUUUUUUGCUUUUGACACAACUUUUUAUUCUAGGUGAUGUUAUUGGUCUUGUCUAAAUUAAAAAUAGGGUCUGUUACAGUGCACCUCUGUGGAUACCCACUCUGCCUUACGAGUGCUGUGGAGUUCUGCUCCAAGAGACCUGUCAUAAUGCUAACAAACUGGCCUUUAAAUAGCAAAAUAUGGCUUCUUAUGCUGGCUUUGAUGCUGUUGAGGAACUUAAAAGAGAAGUGCUGUUCUAUCUAGUCCCCCCCCCCAAAAAAAAAAAAACUCCCUCAGAUUCGACAGAAAAGACCAGUGUCUAAUUACUUUAUUCACAUUGUAAUGGGAUUACUUUAAUUAUUACAUCCAGGAGAAAGUAAUGUCACAGCUGAUUAUGUUAAUUCUAUGUUAUUCUGUCUUUUACAAAGCUGUACUGGAACUGGAAAAUGCAGAAUAAAAUCCAAAGAGUAGCUAAACA